rnacentral:lncRNA from 10 species
GAUAGGGGCAGGUCUGCUCAUUCACUGCUGCCUUCCCUGCACCUGGUACCAUGCACACAGAAUAAGCCUAGCAGAAUGCCUGUGGAUGGACUGACCAAUGAAAGUAAUGAGGUGCUGGGACCCGAAGGCUGAGUGGCAUGAGUCAUGAGGAGGCAUAGGUGGAGUUGGAGGUGGGAGGAGGAUGAUGUAGCAAAGGUAUUUAUAUCAGCCAGAGUCCCAGCAGGAAGAUGGCAUCUUCCACAAGAUAAGUGGGCCAAGUUUAAAGAUGAGAUGAUCUACACAGGCAACUCUAUAGAUCACUGGGGACUCAUCCUGCAGAUAUCAUUCAAGGUAUCCGGUUCAGAAUCUAUCACCAGCUCAGACUGUAGCCUCUGAAGAGAUCUCAGAUGUUUUGUGCCUUAUACAUUUAAUUCUGAGAUCAUAGAGCCCAAGGAGGUUUUGAGGACCCUCUACCCACACCUUCAGAUGUUUUCAGAGGAUUUGCUGGCAGGGCUGGGCCACUGGGCCUUGCUGGGCUCUAAUUUUCC